rnacentral:lncRNA from 1 species
AUACAGCAUGCAUCCCCAAUCUUGUCUGACUGUGUUGCAAGCUUAAUAAACAGGAAGGUUAGAAAUUACCAGUUUAGUCCACAGCUAUAACUUGAAAAAUAUCUAGCUCAGCGGUGAAGUUCCCUCCCAUACUAGGAUUUGGGGAAAUGGAUAUGUUUUAUAGUGCUUGAAGGAUGCCACCCGAGACAGGGUAAGUCAGCAGUACGCUACUGAUGUUCUGCUGCGGCAAUGUGGUCUCCGAGGGAGCCUGUGCCUGAUGCACAGAGCCAGGCAGGGCUUGCAGCCCAUCUCGGUCUGCGGCUGCCUUUCAAUGGAGGCUCCCCUUCCUCCACCAGGCAGAGCGCUGCACGCAUGCCCGUCUUCCCUGUCGUUUAGUGGUGUCAACUUAUUAAUUUCCAUUUUCGACUUCAGGCCUGUUAGUUUCCUGUCUGGAAGCAUUAUUACUUUUGUCCAUGUGGCAAAAUAAUUAGCAUACAGAUGAGAAGUGGCCUCGCGUCUGAGCGCAGAUAGAGAGAAGAUGUGCAGUGGAAAGUUGAUUGGAUGAAUGGAGAACAAAUGGUGGGCGUUCAAAAGCAUUAGAAGAGUUUUGUAGUCGCGGAGCAGGUUGGAGAAUUUUCUGGGUGAGUCCCUAAGAUGGAAGGCAGGGGUGGCUGCCGUGAGAAGGACUGCUUGUCAGAUGCUGGCCUAGCUGAAGGAGCCAAGGGGGACUGCAGGCACAGAUAAUCCAUUCGGACUACUUUGUUUUGCGAUUCUUCAGGUUUCUCUUUGCUCUCCCCUCCAGAGAAGCUCACGCGGAGGCGAAGGCCGAGGUGCAUGCAGCUGCCGCCUGGACGUGCGUCCAGUCCAUGUUGACGUUUGAAGAGUCACAGAGUGUGGCUUGUCCUGAGGAUCAAAUGAAAAGAUCAGCGUGAAGACGCUGUCCCCGGGAGCGGUCCUGUUCUGUCACUCGGAAAGCCAUUAGAGGAAGGACAUAUUUGCACAGAGGAGCCUCA